GAAAUGCGAUAAGUAAUGUGAAUUGCAGAAUUCAGUGAAUCAUCGAAUCUUUGAACGCACAUUGCGCCCGCCAGUAUUCUGGCGGGCAUGCCUGUUCGAGCGUCAUUUCAACCAUCAAGCCCCCGGGCUUGUGUUGGGGACCUGCGGCUGCCGCAGGCCCCGAAAACCAGUGGCGGGCUCGCUGUCACACCGGGCGUAGUAGAUUUUUCGUCUCGCCCAGGGCGUGCUGCGGGCUCCGGCCGUUAAAAAGCCUCUCUUUUAACCCAAGGUUGACCUCGGAUCAGGUAGGAAGACCCGCUGAACUUAAGC
rnacentral:misc_RNA from 1 species